GACGUAGGGUGCGAGCGUUGUCCGGAUUUAUUGGGCGUAAAGAGCUCGUAGGCGGCUCGUCGCGUCGACCGUGAAAACCCGCAGCUUAACUGCGGGCUUGCGGUUGAUACGGGCGGGCUAGAGUUCGGUAGGGGAGACUGGAAUUCCUGGUGUAGCGGUGAAAUGCGCAGAUAUCAGGAGGAACACCGGUGGCGAAGGCGGGUCUCUGGGCCAUUACUGACGCUGAGGAGCGAAAGCGUGGGGAGCGAACAGG
rnacentral:rRNA from 1 species